rnacentral:rRNA from 1 species
GACGGGUGAGUAACACGUGGGUAACCUGCCUGUAAGACUGGGAUAACUCCGGGAAACCGGAGCUAAUACCGGAUAGUUCCUUGAACCGCAUGGUUCAAGGAUGAAAGACGGUUUCGGCUGUCACUUACAGAUGGACCCGCGGCGCAUUAGCUAGUUGGUGAGGUAACGGCUCACCAAGGCGACGAUGCGUAGCCGACCUGAGAGGGUGAUCGGCCACACUGGGACUGAGACACGGCCCAGACUCCUACGGGAGGCAGCAGUAGGGAAUCUUCCGCAAUGGACGAAAGUCUGACGGAGCAACGCCGCGUGAGUGAUGAAGGUUUUCGGAUCGUAAAGCUCUGUUGUUAGGGAAGAACAAGUGCAAGAGUAACUGCUUGCACCUUGACGGUACCUAACCAGAAAGCCACGGCUAACUACGUGCCAGCAGCCGCGGUAAUACGUAGGUGGCAAGCGUUGUCCGGAAUUAUU